AACUCUAAGCGGUGGAUCACUUGGCUCAUGGGUCGAUGAAGAACGCAGCUAACUGUGCGUCAUCGUGUGAACUGCAGGACACAUGAACAUCGACAUUUUGAACGCAUAUUGCAGUCCAUGCUAAGGUAUAUUAAUUUAUUUAGAAAAAUUAAAGUACUGCAUGGACUACAUAUGGUUGAGGGUUG
rnacentral:rRNA from 1 species